rnacentral:rRNA from 1 species
UACGUAGGGGGCGAGCGUUGUCCGGAUUUAUUGGGCGUAAAGAGCGCGUAGGCGGCCAGGUAGGUCCGACGUGAAAUCUCGAGGCUCAACCUCGAGCGGUCGUUGGAUACCGCCUGGCUAGAGUCCGGAAGAGGAGAGUGGAAUUCCUGGUGUAGCGGUGAAAUGCGCAGAUAUCAGGAAGAACACCCAUGGCGAAAGCAGCUCUCUGGGACGGUACUGACGCUGAGGCGCGAAAGCGUGGGGAGCGAACAGGAUUAGAUACCCUGGUAGUCCACGCCGUAAACGAUGGGUGCUAGGUGUGGGCGGUGUCGACUCCGUCCGUGCCGAAGCUAACGCAUUAAGCACCCCGCCUGGGGAGUACGGCCGCAAGGCUAAA